UACGGAGGGUGCAAGCGUUAUCCGGAUUCACUGGGUUUAAAGGGUGCGUAGGCGGGCAGGUAAGUCCGUGGUGAAAUCUCUGAGCUUAACUCAGAAACUGCCAUGGAUACUAUCUGUCUUGAAUAUUGUGGAGGUAAGCGGAAUAUGUCAUGUAGCGGUGAAAUGCUCAGAUAUGACAUAGAACACCAAUUGCGAAGGCAGCUUACUACACAGUUAUUGACGCUGAGGCACGAAAGCGUGGGGAGCAAACAGG
rnacentral:rRNA from 1 species